AAAAAGGCCCUUUUAAGGGCCAUCACAUUAAGAAAAAAGGUGUG
rfam:Lingula anatina scaffold1174, whole genome shotgun sequence.